CUAAGGCUCCAGAGGAAGCCACGGCUAACUCUGUGCCAGCAGCCGCGGUAAUACAGAGGCGGCAAGCGUUGUUCGGAAUUAUUGGGCGUAAAGAGCACGUAGGCGGCCUUGCAAGUCAGUUGUGGAGGCCUUCCGCUUAACGGAAGAAUGCCAGCUGAUACUACAGGGCUUGAGUACGGGAGGGGAGAGUGGAACUUCUGGUGGUGCGGUGAAAUGCGUAGAUAUCAGAAGGAACGCCGGCGGCGAAAGCGACUCUCUGGCCCGAAACUGACGCUGAGUGUGCGAAAGCUAGGGGAGCAAACGGGAUUAGAUACCCCGGUAGUCCUAGCCGUAAA
rnacentral:rRNA from 1 species